rnacentral:rRNA from 1 species
UACGUAGGGUCCGAGCGUUGUCCGGAAUUACUGGGCGUAAAGCGCGCGCAGGCGGCUUCCCAAGCGCCACGUGAAAGCCCCGGGCUCAACCCGGGAGGGUCGCGGCGAACUGGGAGGCUUGAGGCCGGUAGAGGUGGGUGGAACUCCUGGUGGAGUGGUGAAAUGCGCAGAUAUCAGGAAGAACACCCGUAGCGAAAGCGGCUCUCUGGAACGGUACUGACGCUGAGACGCGAAAGCGUGGGGAGCGAACAGG